rnacentral:rRNA from 1 species
UACGGGGGGGGUAAGCGUUGUUCGGAAUUACUGGGCGUAAAGGGCUCGUAGGCGGCCAACUAAGUCAGACGUGAAAUCCCUCAGCUUAACUGGGGAACUGCGUCUGAUACUGCGGUGCUUGAGGACUGGAGAGGAGACUGGAAUUUACGGUGUAGCAGUGAAAUGCGUAGAGAUCGUAAGGAAGACCAGUGGCGAAGGCGGGUCUCUGGACAGUUCCUGACACUGAGGCACGAAGGCCAGGGGAGCAAACGGG